rnacentral:rRNA from 1 species
UUCCGUAGGUGAACCUGCGGAAGGAUCAUUGUCGAAACCUGCCUAGCAGAACGACCCGCGAACAAGUGAAAAAAUACACCGGCGGUGCGGGGGUUGCGUAAGCUCCCCGCUCGUCGCGUCGCGGGUGGUGCGGUCGGCUUCUCGUCCGCGAGCGUCGUUCCGUCCCACCCCGCGGCACAACAACGAACCCCGGCGCGGACCGCGCCAAGGAAAUUCUAACGAGAGAGCUCGCUCCCGUCGCCCCGGAKACGGUGYGCGCACGGGCAGCGACGCCUUCUUUCACAAUCAAAAACGACUCUCGGCAACGGAUAUCUAGGCUCUCGCAUCGAUGAAGAACGUAGCGAAAUGCGAUACUUGGUGUGAAUUGCAGAAUCCCGUGAACCAUCGAGUCUUUGAACGCAAGUUGCGCCCCAAGCCUUUAGGCCGAGGGCACGUCUGCCUGGGUGUCACGCAUCGUCGCCCCCCCCCAACCCCCCGCACCCCGGGGAGGAACGCGGGCGGGGCGGAGAAUGGCCUCCCGUGCGCCGCUCGGCUCGCGGUUGGCCCAAAUCCGAGUCCUCGGCUUCGCGCGCCGCGACUUUCGGUGGUCGAAACAAACCUCGAUGUCCCGUCGCGCCCGCGUCGUCGUAGCACGGACUCAAGGACCCUGACGCGUCGCCAGGCCGCGACGCUCGCUUCGCGA